rnacentral:rRNA from 1 species
GACGUAGGGCGCGGAGCGUUGUCCGGAUUUACUGGGCGUAAAGAGCGCGCAGGCGGUCGAUCAAGUCGAGUGUGAAAGCCCCCGGCUCAAACUGGGGAGGGUCACGCGAUACUGAUCGACUCGAAGGCAGGAGAGGGAAUGGAAUUCCCGGUGUAGUGGUGAAAUGCGUAGAUAUCGGGAGGAACACCAGUGGCGAAGGCGACUUCCUGGCCUGUUCUUGACGCUGAGGCGCGAAAGCUAGGGGAGCAAACGGG